GGAUUACUGGGCGUAAGCGCACGCUAGGCGGUCUGUCAAGUCGGAUGUGAAAUCCCCGGGCUCAACCUGGGAACUGCAUUCGAAACUGGCAGGCUGGAGUCUUGUAGAGGGGGGUAGAAUUCCAGGUGUAGCGGUGAAAUGCGUAGAGAUCUGGAGGAAUACCGGUGGCGAAGGCGGCCCCCUGGACAAAGACUGACGCUCAGGUGCGAAAGCGUGGGGAGCAAACAGGAUUAGAUACCCUGGUAGUCCACGCUGUAAACGAUGUCUACUUGGAGGUUGUUCCCUUGAGGAGUGGCUUCCGGAGCUAACGCGUUAAGUCGACCGCCUGGGGAGUACGGCCGCAAGGAUUAAAACUCAAGGAAAUUGACCGGG
rnacentral:rRNA from 1 species